AUUGAACGCUGGCGGCAUGCUUUACACAUGCAAGUCGAACGGUAACAGGCCGCAAGGUGCUGACGAGUGGCGAACGGGUGAGUAAUGCAUCGGAACGUGCCCAGUCGUGGGGGAUAACUACUCGAAAGAGUAGCUAAUACCGCAUACGAUCUAUGGAUGAAAGCGGGGGACCGUAAGGGCUCGCGCGAUUGGAGCGGCCGAUGUCAGAUUAGGUAGUUGGUGGGGUAAAGGCUCACCAAGCCAACGAUCUGUAGCUGGUCUGAGAGGACGACCAGCCACACUGGGACUGAGACACGGCCCAGACUCCUACGGGAGGCAGCAGUGGGGAAUUUUGGACAAUGGGCGCAAGCCUGAUCCAGCAAUGCCGCGUGCAGGAAGAAGGCCUUCGGGUUGUAAACUGCUUUUGUACGGAACGAAACGGCUCUGGUUAAUACCCGGGGCUAAUGACGGUACCGUAAGAAUAAGCACCGGCUAACUACGUG
rnacentral:rRNA from 1 species